UACGUAGGGUGCAAGCGUUGUCCGGAAUUAUUGGGCGUAAAGAGCUCGUAGGCGGUCUGUCGCGUCGGCUGUGAAAUCCCGGAGCUCAACUCCGGGUCUGCAGUCGAUACGGGCAAACUGGAGUACUGCAGGGGAGACUGGAAUUCCUGGUGUAGCGGUGAAAUGCGCAGAUAUCAGGAGGAACACCAAUGGCGAAGGCAGCUCGCUGGGACGUGACUGACGCUGAGACGCGAAAGCUAGGGGAGCAAACAGG
rnacentral:rRNA from 1 species